AUUUAUUGGGUUNAAANGGUGCGUAGGCGGCNUUUUAAGUCAGCGGUGAAANUCUGUGGCCCAACCAUAGAANNCCGUUGAAACUGGGGGGCUUGAGUAUGUUUGAGGCAGGCGNNAUGCGUGGUGUAGCGGUGAAAUGCAUAGAUAUCACGCAGAACCCCGAUUGCGAAGGCAGCCUGCCAAGCCAUGACUGACGCUGAUGCACGAAAGCGUGGGGAUCAAACAGGAUUAGAUACCCUGGUAGUCCACGCAGUAAACGAUGAUCACUAGCUGUUUGCGAUACACUGUAAGCGGCACAGCGAAAGCGUUAAGUGAUCCACCUGGGGAGUACGCCGGCAACGGUGAAACUCAAAGGAAUUGACGGGGGCCCGCACAAGCGGAGGAACAUGUGGUUUAAUUCGAUGAUACGCGAGGAACCUUACCCGGGUUUGAACGCAUUCGGACCGAGGUGGAAACACCUUUUCUAGCAAUAGCCGUUUGCGAGGUGCUGCAUGGUUGUCGUCAGCUCGUGCCGUGAGGUGUCGGCUUAAGUGCCAUAACGAGCGCAACCCUUGCCACUAGUUACUAACAGGUAAAGCUGAGGACUCUGGUGGGACUGCCAGCGUAAGCUGCGAGGAAGGCGGGGAUGACGUCAAAUCAGCACGGCCCUUACAUCCGGGGCGACACACGUGUUACAAUGGCGUGGACAAAGGGAAGCCACCUGGCGACAGGGAGCGAAUCCCCAAACCACGUCUCAGUUCGGAUCGGAGUCUGCAACCCGACUCCGUGAAGCUGGAUUCGCUAGUAAUCGCGCAUCAGCCAUGGCGCGGUGAAUACGUUCCCGGGCCUUGUACACACCGCCCGUCAAGCCAUGGGAGCCGGGGGUACCUGAAGUCCGUAACCGCGAGGAUCGGCCUAGGGUAAAACUGGUGACUGGGGCUAAGUCGUAACAAGGUAGCAAUCACUAGUGAAUUCGCGGCCGCCUGCAGGUCGACCAUANGGGAGAGCNCC
rnacentral:rRNA from 1 species